UUGUCAAGGCUGUGCAAGCUAGAGUUCUCUGCUGCUGGCCCAUGUUCUGACCAGGUUUUUCUUAUUGUUCUUCUGCAUCUCCUGGCCGGACUGGCUGGGACUCACAGACCAAUGGGUCCAGAUCCCAGUGAAAAGCUGCAGUUAAUACUUGUCUAUAAUGACUACAGGCCGAUCCAGGACAGGUCCAGUUAACACGGGUCUAUAAUGACUACAGGCCGAUCCAGGACAGGUCCAGUUAACACGGGUCUAUAAUGACUACAGGCCGAUCCAGGACAGGUCCAGUUAACACGGGUCUAUAAUGACUACAGGCCGAUCCAGGACAGGUCCAGUUAACACGGGUCUAUAAUGACUACAGGCCGAUCCAGGACAGGUCCAGUUAACACGGGUCUAUAAUGACUACAGGCCGAUCCAGGACAGGUCCAGUUAACACGGGUCUAUAAUGACUACAGGCCGAUCCAGGACAGGUCCAGUUAACACGGGUCUAUAAUGACUACAGGCCGAUCCAGGACAGGUCCAGUUAACACGGGUCUAUAAUGACGACAGGCCGAUCCAGGACAGGUCCAGUUAACACGGGUCUAUAAUGACUACAGGCCGAUCCAGGACAGGUCCAGUUAACACGGGUCUAUAAUGACUACAGGCUGAUCCAGGACAGGUCCAGUUAACACGGGUCUAUAAUGACUACAGGCUGAUCCAGGACAGGUCCAGUUAACACGGGUCUAUGAUGACUACAGGCUGAUCCAGGACAGGUCCAGUUAACACGGGUCUAUAAUGACUACAGGCAGAUCAAAGUAAUAGUAAUCCGUAUAGCUGUCUUCAGAAUCUUGAGUCUUCAGAAUCUUGAGUCUUCAGAGUCUUCAGACAGAAU